rnacentral:lncRNA from 1 species
UGGCUGGCCGGUGAAUGAUCACGGCCCUGGAAAUGGAGUUGAAGCAAAUACUCGCCGUAAAGGUGCCAACAGAGGAGGUGGUAUGGAUUCGUGGUUCGAAGAGCUAGGGUACUUGAGCUUGCCUUUGUUCAAGCGUUUGAUUUCUGCAAUGAAAAGUAGAGAUUUGAGUUCAGAAGUUAUCGAGAGCUGUCUAAUGUAUUAUGCGAAGAAGUACAUUCCAGGAAUUUCACGCUCAAGUAGGAAUGCAUCUUCGUCUUCGAUACCAUCGGAGAACGAACAGAGAGAGCUUUUGGAGACUAUAAUUACUAACCUUCCUGAAGAAACUAGCUCAAGAACUUCAACAACCACAAGGAUUCUCUUCGGUUUAUUGAGAACAGCGAACAUACUAAAUGCUUCGGAAGCUGCUCGAGCUUCACUGGAGAGGAAAAUCGGAUCUCAA